GAAAAACUAUGUUGAUUAGAUAAAUGUUAAGCAGUGUUUAAAAGUACUGGUUGAGAAGACAAAACAGAAAGUUUGUUUUAUGAAAAAACACCAUUAAUAUAUACAUCUAUAUAUAAUGUGUAGAAAAGCUUAAUAGCAUUUUAAACUCCUCAACUAUAGUGAGAAGACAGGUGAGCAAAACCCUAUUUAUUAAGGUGUUUGUUUACUAAAACAUGCUUUAGAUUGUAGGUCAAACAAUUUGAAACUUGAUUGUAAAGAAGACUUUAUUAGGUAGAUGCAUAUGGACCUGUAAAGUAUGAAGAGACAUAUAUGUUCAAUGCUCGAGGUUAGGUUUUUUAUUUUUUCGUUAGUGGGAAGGAGCUUGGGUUCUUUUGUGACAUCGAUGUGAAACCACUUUACAUAGUUUCUGUUACUGUUUUUGUUUUGC
rnacentral:lncRNA from 1 species